GUCGCCUUUUAAAAAAAUCCCUGCGGUGGGUGGGAAGGAGCUGGAUCUUCACGGUCUCUACACCAGAGUCACUACUUUAGGCGGAUUCGCGAAGGUUUCUGAGAAGAAUCAGUGGGGAGAAAUCGUUGAAGAGUUCAACUUUCCCAGAAGUUGUUCUAACGCUGCCUUUGCUUUAAAACAGUAUUACUUGCGUUACCUAGAAAAGUACGAGAAAGUUCAUCAUUUUGGGGAGGAUGAUGAUGAGGUACCACCAGGCAAUCCAAAGCCACAGCUUCCUAUUGGUGCAAUUCCAUCUUCCUACAAUUACCAGCAACACAGUGUGUCAGAUUAUCUGCGUCAAAGUUAUGGGCUAUCUAUGGACUUUAAUUCGCCAAAUGAUUAUAAUAAAUUGGUGCUUUCACUGUUAUCUGGACUCCCAAAUGAAGUGGACUUUGCUAUUAAUGUAUGCACUCUUCUAUCAAAUGAAAGCAAGCAUGUCAUGCAACUUGAAAAAGACCCUAAAAUCAUCACUUUAUUACUUGCUAAUGCCGGGGUGUUUGAUGACACGUUAGGAUCCUUUUCUACUGUAUUUGGAGAAGAAUGGAAAGAGAAGACCGAUAGAGAUUUUGUUAAGUUUUGGAAAGAUAUUGUUGAUGAUAAUGAAGUUCGUGACCUCAUUUCUGACAGAAACAAGUCUCAUGAAGGUACAUCAGGAGAAUUGAUUUGGGAAUCUUUAUUUCAUCCACCUCGAAAGCUGGGCAUUAACGAUAUUGAAGGACAACGGGUACUUCAGAUUGCAGUGAUUUUGCGAAAUCUUUCCUUUGAGGAGGGCAAUGUUAAGCUCUUGGCAGCUAAUCGUACCUGUCUUCGUUUCCUAUUACUUUCUGCACAUAGUCAUUUUAUUUCUUUAAGGCAAUUAGGCCUUGACACAUUAGGAAAUAUUGCAGCUGAGCUUUUAUUGGACCCUGUUGAUUUCAAAACUACUCAUCUGAUGUUUCAUACUGUUACAAAAUGCCUAAUGUCAAGGGAUAGAUUUUUAAAGAUGAGGGGCAUGGAAAUUUUGGGAAAUCUAUGUAAAGCAGAAGAUAAUGGUGUUUUAAUUUGUGAAUAUGUGGAUCAGGAUUCUUACAGAGAGAUCAUUUGUCAUCUCACUUUACCUGAUGUGCUGCUUGUAAUUUCAACACUUGAGGUGCUAUACAUGCUUACUGAAAUGGGAGAUGUUGCUUGCACAAAAAUUGCAAAAGUAGAAAAGAGCAUAGACAUGUUAGUGUGUCUGGUUUCUAUGGAUAUUCAGAUGUUUGGCUCUGAUGCACUAGCUGCAGUAAAACUCGUCGAACAUCCAAGUUCCAGUCCUCAAGUUUUAUCUGAAAUCAGACCACAAGCUAUAGAGCAAGUCCCAACCCAGACCCAUGUAGCUUCUACCCCAGCUUCCAGAACAGUUGUAGCACAGCAUGUCGCUCCACCACCAGGAAUAGUGGAAAUAGAUAGUGAGAAGUUUGCUUGUCAGUGGCUAAAUGCUCAUUUCGAAGUAAAUCCAGAUUGUUCUGUAUCUCGGGCAGAAAUGUAUUCUGAAUACCUCUCAACUUGCAGUAAAUUAGCUCGUGGUGGAAUCCUAACAUCAACUGGAUUCUAUAAAUGUCUUAGAACGGUCUUUCCAAAUCAUACAGUGAAGAGAGUGGAAGAUUCCAGUAAUAGUGGGCAGGCACAUAUUCAUGUGGUAGGAGUAAAACGGAGGGCUAUACCACUUCCCAUUCAGAUGUACUAUCAACAGCAACCAGUUUCUACUCCUGUUGUUCGUGUUGAUUCUGUUCCUGAUAUAUCUCCAACUCCUUCACCUGCAGGAAUCCCUCAUGGAUCACAAACUGUAGGCAACCAUUUUCAGAGGACUCCUGUUACCAACCAAUCUCCAAAUCUGACUGCAACACAAAUGUCUUUUCCAGUACAAGGUGUUCAUACUGUGGCACAGACUGUUUCAAGAAUUCCACCAAAUCCUUCACUUCAUACUCACCAGCAGCAAAAUGCUCCAGUGACUGUCAUUCAAAAUAAAGCUCCCGUUUCUUGUGAAGUUGUUAAAGCUACAGUAAUUCAGAAUUCUAUAUCCCAGACAGCAGUUCCUGUUAGUAUUGCUGUUGGAGGAGGACCUACACAGAGUUCUGUUGUUCAGAAUCAUAAUACAGGACCACAACCUGUUACGGUUGUGAAUUCUCAGACAUUGCUUCACCACCCAUCUGUAAUUCCACAGCAAUCUCCAUUACAUACAGUGGUACCUGGACAGAUAACUUCAGGCACUCCUGUUACAGUAAUUCAGCAAGCUGUCCCACAGAGUCAUAUAUUUGGCAGAGUACAGAAUAUACCAGCAUGUACUUCUACAGUUUCACAGGGUCAACCGUUAAUCACCACAUCACCCCAGCCUGUGCAGACUUCAUCUCAACAGACAUCAGCUGGUAGCCAGCCGCAAGACACUGUCAUCAUAGCACCUCCACCGUAUGUUACAACUUCUGCAUCCAAUAUUGUCUCAGCAACUUCAGUACAGAAUUUUCAGGUUGCUGCAGGGCAAAUGGUUACCAUUGCUGGUGUCCCAAGCCCACAACCUUCAAGGGUAGGAUUUCAAAACAUUGCACCUAAACCUCUCCCUUCUCAGCAGGUUUCAUCAACAGUGGUACAGCAGCCUAUUCAACAACCACAGCAGCCAACCCAACAAAGUGUGGUGAUUGUAAGCCAGCCAGCUCAACAAGGUCAAACUUAUGCACCAGCCAUUCACCAAAUUGUUCUUGCGAAUCCAGCAGCUCUUCCAGCUGGUCAAACAGUUCAGCUUACUGGACAACCAAACAUAACUCCAUCUUCUUCACCAUCACCUGUCCCAGCCACUAAUAACCAAGUCCCCACUGCCAUGUCUUCUUCUACCCCUCAGUCACAGGGACCACCUCCUACUGUCAGUCAGAUGCUAUCUGUGAAAAGGCAACAACAGCAGCAGCAUUCACCAGCACCCCCACCACAACAGGUACAAGUACAAGUUCAACAGCCACAGCAAGUACAGAUGCAAGUUCAACCUCAGCAGACUAAUGCAGGAGUUGGUCAGCCUGCAUCUGGUGAGUCUAGUCUGAUAAAACAGCUGCUGCUUCCAAAGCGUGGUCCUUCAACUCCAGGUGGUAAACUUAUUCUCCCAGCUCCUCAGAUUCCUCCCCCUAAUAAUGCAAGAGCUCCUAGCCCUCAGGUGGUCUAUCAGGUGGCCAAUAACCAAGCAGCAGGUUUUGGAGUGCAGGGGCAAACUCCAGCUCAGCAGUUAUUGGUUGGGCAGCAAAAUGUUCAGUUGGUCCAAAGUGCAAUGCCACCCACAGGGGGAGUACAAACUGUGCCCAUCUCAAACUUACAAAUAUUGCCAGGUCCACUGAUCUCAAAUAGCCCAGCAACCAUUUUCCAAGGGACUUCUGGCAACCAGGUAACCAUAACAGUUGUGCCAAAUACAAGUUUUGCAACUGCAACUGUGAGUCAGGGAAAUGCAACACAGCUCAUUGCUCCAGCAGGAAUUACUAUGAGCGGAACGCAGGCAGGAGUUGGACUUCAAGUGCAAACGCUUCCAGCCACUCAAGCAUCUACUGCUGGACAAUCAUUGUGUACUACUGCUACUCCCCCAUUCAAAGGUGAUAAAAUAAUUUGCCAAAAGGAGGAGGAAGCAAAGGAAGCAACAGGUUUGCAUGUUCAUGAACGUAAAAUUGAAGUCAUGGAGAACCCCUCCUGCCGACGAGGAAUCACAAACACCAGCAAUGGGGAUACAAAGGAAAAUGAAAUGCAGGUGGGAAGUCUUUUAAAUGGGAGAAAGUACAGUGACUCAAGUCUACCUCCUUCAAACUCAGGGAAAAUCCAAAGUGAGGCUAAUCAGUGCUCGCUAAUCAGUAAUGGGCCAUCAUUAGAAUUAGAUGAGAAUGGAGCAUCUGGAAAACUGAACUCAGAACCAAUGGACACACAGGAUAUCAAAAGUGAUCUGAAGAAACCCCUAGUUAAUGGGAUCUGUGAUUUUGAUAAAGGAGAUGGCUCUCAUUUAAGCAAAAACAUUCCAAAUCACAAAACUUCCAAUCAUGUAGGAAAUGGUGAGAUAUCUCCAGUGGAACCACAAGGGACUUUAGAUACCACUCAGCAAGAAACUGCCAAAGGUGAUCAGCUAGAAAGAAUUUCUAAUGGACCUGUAUUAACUUUGGGUGGUUCACCAUCUGUGAGCAGUAUACAGGAGGCCUCAAAUAUGGCCACACAGCAAUUUAGUGGUACUGAUUUGCCUAAUGGACCUGUAGCUUCAAGUUUGAAUUCAGAUGUGCCUCAGCAACGCCCAAGUGUAGUUGUCUCACCACAUUCUACAACCUCUGUUAUACAGGGGCAUCAAAUCAUAGCAGUUCCCCACUCAGGAUCAAGGGUGUCCCAUUCUCCUGCCCUGUCAUCUGAUGUUCGGUCUACAAAUGGCACAGCAGAAUGCAAAACUGUUAAGAGGCCAGCAGAGGAUAAUGAUAGGGAAACAGUCACAGGAAUUCCAAAUAAAGUAGGAGUUAGAAUUGUUACAAUCAGUGACCCCAACAAUGCUGGCUGCAGUGCAACAAUGGUUGCUGUGCCAGCAGGAGCAGAUCCAAGCACUGUAGCUAAAGUAGCAAUAGAAAGUGCUGUUCAGCAAAAGCAGCAGCAUCCACCACCAUAUGUACAGAAUGUGGUCCCACAGAACACUCCUGUGCCACCUUCACCAGCUGUACAAGUGCAGGGCCAGCCUCAGAGUUCUCAGUCUUCAUUCAGUGCAUCCAGUCAACAUGGAGAUCCAAUGAGAAAACCUGGACAGAACUUCAUGUGUUUGUGGCAGUCUUGUAAAAAGUGGUUUCAGACACCGUCACAGGUUUUCUACCAUGCAGCUACUGAACAUGGAGGAAAAGAUGUAUAUCCAGGCCAGUGUCUUUGGGAAGGUUGUGAGCCUUUUCAGCGACAGAGGUUUUCUUUUAUAACCCACUUACAGGAUAAGCAUUGUUCAAAGGAUGCCCUGCUGGCAGGAUUAAAACAAGAUGAACCAGGACAGGCAGGAAAUCAAAAAUCUUCUACCAAGCAGCCAGCUGUAGGGGGCACAAGCUCAACUCCUAGAGCACAGAAGGCCAUUGUGAAUCAUCCCAGUGCUGCACUUAUGGCUCUAAGGAGAGGAUCAAGAAACCUUGUCUUUCGAGAUUUUACAGAUGAAAAAGAGGGACCAAUAACUAAACACAUCCGACUAACAGCUGCCUUAAUAUUAAAAAAUAUUGGUAAAUAUUCAGAAUGUGGUCGCAGAUUAUUAAAGAGACAUGAAAACAACUUAUCAGUGCUAGCCAUUAGUAACAUGGAAGCUUCCUCCACCCUUGCCAAAUGCCUUUAUGAACUUAAUUUUACAGUACAGAGUAAAGAACAAGAAAAAGACUCAGAAAUGCUGCAGUGAAAAAUAAUUCCACUUACACAGUGGGGACUCGAAGUCAGAUACAUUUCACAUACUGUUACUGAAGAAAGCACCAAGUCUUAAUGGAACAGAGACCAUAGAAUGAAUUAUUUUAUCUCCUCCCAUGAUGCUGAGAGGAAGUUUUGUAUUCUGAUCUCUGAGCGAAUCCCUUUGUUCUCUGUUUUAAAAAAUCUUUAAAAGAAAAAGAAAAAAAAGAACUGCUGUGGGAUUGUCAACCAGCUUAUCUGCAGGAUAUCUCUCAGAUCGAUAAAUCCUGAUGGAAACUGAACCACAAUGUAUACAAAUCUCCAACCUGAAUUUGGGGCCAGAUUCUUAGAGUGAAAGAACUUUGAUUUGGAUAUAAUUUUUUUUUAAUAUUUUGAUUGAAUUAGUAUCAGAGGAAAAUGGAAUUUCUCACUGAAGGAAGAUCCCUGGUCACCGACUCUGCCAUGUCUCAAAUGAAUACUUGAGAAACUUCAUCCAGCAUUAGUCGUGAUUAUUUCUUACCAGGAUUGUGUGAUUUUUACCCAGCCUGUCUGCCAAGACUGGGGCUGCCCC